rnacentral:rRNA from 2 species
GGGUUGUGAGGUUAAGCGACUAAGCGUACACGGUGGAUGCCCUGGCAGUCAGAGGCGAUGAAGGACGUGCUAAUCUGCGAUAAGCGUCGGUAAGGUGAUAUGAACCGUUAUAACCGGCGAUUUCCGAAUGGGGAAACCCAGUGUGAUUCGUCACACUAUCAUUAACUGAAUCCAUAGGUUAAUGAGGCGAACCGGGGGAACUGAAACAUCUAAGUACCCCGAGGAAAAGAAAUCAACCGAGAUUCCCCCAGUAGCGGCGAGCGAACGGGGAGCAGCCCAGAGCCUGAAUCAGUGUGUGUGUUAGUGGAAGCGUCUGGAAAGGCGCGCGAUACAGGGUGACAGCCCCGUACACAAAAAUGCACAUAUUGUGAGCUCGAUGAGUAGGGCGGGACACGUGGUAUCCUGUCUGA